GAAAUGCGAUAAGUAAUGUGAAUUGCAGAAUUCAGUGAAUCAUCGAAUCUUUGAACGCACAUUGCGCCCGGCAGCAAUCUGCCGGGCAUGCCUGUCCGAGCGUCAUUUCUGCCCUCGAGCGCGGUUCGGCCCCUAGCGGGCCGGCCGCCGCCCGGUGUUGGGGCGCUGCGGGUCCUCGUGCCCGCAGGCCCUGAAAUGAAGUGGCGGUCCCGCCGCGGCGCCCCCUGCGUAGUAGUAAAGCACCUCGCAUCGGGUCCCGGCGGAGGCCAGCCGUCGAACCUCUCUUUUGAUGGUUUGACCUCGGAUCAGGUAGGGUUACCCGCUGAACUUAAGC
rnacentral:misc_RNA from 1 species